CUAUUACUNAAAAUAACUAAAAUCCUAAAUUUUAAUGAUUUCUUAAUGGGUUGAUUAAAUUGAUUAUGGCAGUAAUAGAUAUUAAAUAAUAAAGGAGAUUUUGAUUUAGUUAUUUUUGAUAGUGUUGAUUAAAUAUGUGCCAGCAGUCGCGGUUAUACAUAGAACAUAAAUAAGUAUUUUUAGUUAAAUAGUUAAUUUAUUUUAUUUAAUUUAAUUUGAUGAUUUUUAGGUAAAAUUUAAAUUUUUGUUUUAUUUUAAUUUUAUAUUUAAUGAGGCUGUGAAAUCCAAGUUAUUUAAACUAGGAUUAGAUACCCUAUUAUUUUGGAUUUAAAUACUUAAACUUGAGUAGUAUUAGAUAUGAGCUUGAAACUUAAAGAAUUUGGCGGUACUUUAGUCUGGUUAGAGGAAUCUGUUCCAUUAUCGAUAGUCCACGUUGAACCUUACUUAAUAUAAUUUGAUAUGUAUACCGCCUUUUAUUUAAAGAAAAUCUUUUUAGGGAUAAUUUUCUUUAAAUUUUAAUUAAUUUUAUUUCAGGUCAAGGUGCAGUUUAUAAUUAAGUGGUGAUGGAUUACAUUAUUUAUAAGAUAAACGAAUUAAAAUUUGAAAUUAUUUUAUGAAGGGGGAUUUAAUAGUAAUUAAAAAUAAGAAUUAUUUUUAUGAUUUUAGCUCUAAAGUGUGUACACAUCGCCCGUCACUCUCGUUAUAAGAUGAGAUAAGUCGUAACAAAGUAGGUGUACCGGAAGGUGUAGCUAGAUUGAU
rnacentral:ncRNA from 1 species